ensembl:lncRNA
CUAAAAAACAGCACUGAAAACAAGAUGAAAUUAUAAUCAUAGAAUCGAUUGAGUUGGAAGGGACCCUUAAGGGCUAUUUGGUCCAAUUCCCCUGCAGUGAACAGGGACAUCCAGAACCAGAUCAGGUUCUCAGAACCCUUUCCAGCCUGACCUUGAAUGUCUCCAGGGACAGGACAUCAACCACCUCUCUGUACAGACAUUACAACACUGAAGAGGAUUUGAGACAACCAUAUGGGCUCUAUGGCCAAGUCAUGCUCCUCUAGAGACUGUGGAAGAGCACCUCAACAGACUCUGCAAAGCCAUGAAGAUUAUUUGAGUCAUUCUGGAUUUGCUGUGGGACAAAAAACACAGGAUGUGGCCAGAUCCAGCAAACAUACUUUUCAAUCAGAUUUACAUAAAAUCCACUCCUUCACCCACCAGACACACAUACAAAAAAACAAAAUAAUAAUCAUAUCAAAACAGAACUGAUUGUGAAACCUCCUUUUGUCCUGUGAGAAUUUCAGAUUUCAGAAGUUUUACCAUCAAAACUUGAUAAUUCUUGCAGGCCAGUAAUCCAUGAAGAAUUCACCAUAGGUCUUUUGAGAUAUUUUUCAUGCUUUAGGUCCUUUUAAUAAUGGAAAUAAUAA